rnacentral:rRNA from 1 species
UGCGCAGGCGGCCGUGUAGGUGUGCAGUGAAAUCUCCUGGCUUACCUGGGAGGGGCGUGCGGCAAACCGACAGGGCUUGAGGCUCGGGGAGGGCGUGGAAUUCCGGGUGGAGCGGUGAAAUGCGUAGAGAUCCGGAGGAACACCGACGGCGUAAGCAGCGCCCUAAACGAGACCUGACGCUCAGGCACGAAAGCUGGGGGAGCAAACAGGAUUAGAUACCCUGGUAGUCCCAGCCCUAAACGAUGUCCACCAGGUGCCGCGGGUAUCGACCCCUGCGGUGCCGCAGCUCACGUGAUGAGUGGACCGCCUGGGGAGUACGGCCGCAAGGUUGAA